GCACAGCCAUUGAUAAAGGCUGCAGCGGAAGUUCUUUUACGCUACUAUUUGAAUCUUCCGCUUUUCGAACGCGGAAGUGUGAUUUCUGUGGUAUCCACAAACCGCGAUUGACUGUCAGAAAUGUGAUUGGGUUACGUGGCACACGUGAUCCAAGUUGACCGAUAUGUUUUGUCCAAUGGUAGAGCCGCGGAGGAUGGUUUCUCGUAUCCAACGCAGCUCAGUAACGCCAGCCCUACUGUAGCUCCAAUUACUGCUCUUUCAAGCGGCUCACGUGAUAAUCACAAAUGAGAUAAACUGUCACAUGACUUCCUCGAAAUGUCUAAAGAGUGAUGACAUAUCGUUGUAAACUUCCAGCUGGUUACCUCACCUGUAUUACAGGUUUAAUUUUAAUAGACAAGAAAGAAACACGUUUAAUGGGCAUAAACAACAUUUUUGACAAGUGUGAGGAUGAUGGCUUCCCGGAAUGCAGACCUUAUCUACAAAAAGUGUUAAGAUGCUGACAUUCAGGACAAACUACAAAAGAACGAUGGCAGAUCUCCAGAGGCUGCAGAUAGAGCAGGGUGACUGGAUCUGUGAAUGUGGUUUCCCUGGAAUAUACAGACGUGAAAUUUCCACUCAAGAUGUGCCAAAGAUUUACUCCUUUGCCGUUUGACACUACAUACAGUAUAUCCAAGGUAUACAAGUGGUGUGAAAAUGUGUUGGCCCCCUUCCUGAUUUUUUAUUUUUUUGCAAGUUUGUCACACUUUAAUGUUUCAGAUCAUCAAACAAAUUAAAAUAUUAAUCAAAGAUAACACAAGUAAACACAACAUGCAGUUUUUAAAUGAAGUUUUUUAUUAUGAAG